GUCUAUGGCCAUGCCACCCUAAACAAGCCCAAUCUUGUCUGAUCUCGGAAGCUAAGCAGGGUUGGGCCUGGUUAGUACUUGGAUGGGAGACCACCUAGGAAGACCAGGUGCUGUAGGCA
rnacentral:rRNA from 1 species